rnacentral:lncRNA from 1 species
GACUCAGAGCAGAACAACAUCCAUGUGAAAGACAUCGUUAAGGUCAUUGAUGGCCCCCACUCAGGCCGAGAAGGGGAGAUUCGCCAUCUCUUCCGAAGCUUCGCCUUCCUACAUUGCAAGAAACUGGUGGAGAACGGGGGCAUGUUUGUCUGCAAGACCCGCCACCUGGUGCUGGCUGGGGGCUCAAAGGUGAGGUGGGCAUGGCAGGACCCUGUGCGUUGGGUACCUGGCUCAGCUCUCCAAGCCUCCUCUGGCCCCAGAAGUGAUAAGAUUGGGCUUGUGAGGGAUUAGGAGAGCAGUGUCAUUGUCAGGUCCUUGGCAAA